UAGCUUUGCAUCCUCCCUUGGGCCUAAAACCACCAGUUACCUCUCCCACCGUCAUCUCAGAUGUCUGGUCGGAAAGAAACCAGGCAUCUUUAAGGUUUGAGGCGCUGAGAGAAUGGGUGUAAAGUCCAGAGAAGGCAUUGGUGAAGGAACGCAGCGUCAGGUGGGGAGCGCGAGGGCAAGACGAGCCAGGAGCCCACAGUGGAUCCAGCAAAAAGCAGCUGAUCGCUUUCAAAAUGCGGUCUCUUGAAAUGUGAAGAUGUGUGGCGGGAGCCUCAGGAGAGAAGACAGCAGCCGGCAGGGGGACUGUGAUCAUUGAGAGGGAGCCUGGACCCAGUCGGACAACCACCAUCCCUCCCACGCCCAGGAGCAAGCUGUCUCUGCAGGACCUUCCUGCCCGCCUGCCUUCU
rnacentral:lncRNA from 1 species